UGGCCGUCUGGUAAGGCAACGGGUUUUGGUCCCGGUAUUCGGAGGUUCGAAUCCUUU
rfam:Daucus carota subsp. sativus cultivar DH1 chromosome 5, whole genome shotgun sequence.